UACGAAGGGGGCUAGCGUUGCUCGGAAUCACUGGGCGUAAAGGGUGCGUAGGCGGGUCUUUAAGUCAGGGGUGAAAACCUGGAGCUCAACUCCAGAACUGCCUUUGAUACUGAAGAUCUUGAGUUCGGGAGAGGUGAGUGGAACUGCGAGUGUAGAGGUGAAAUUCGUAGAUAUUCGCAAGAACACCAGUGGCGAAGGCGGCUCACUGGCCCGAUACUGACGCUGAGGCACGAAAGCGUGGGGAGCAAACAGG
rnacentral:rRNA from 1 species